rnacentral:rRNA from 1 species
UGGGGAAUAUUGCACAAUGGGCGCAAGCCUGAUGCAGCCAUGCCGCGUGUGUGAAGAAGGCCUUCGGGUUGUAAAGCACUUUCAGCGGGGAGGAAGGCGAUAAGGUUAAUAACCUUGUCGAUUGACGUUACCCGCAGAAGAAGCACCGGCUAACUCCGUGCCAGCAGCCGCGGUAAUACGGAGGGUGCAAGCGUUAAUCGGAAUUACUGGGCGUAAAGCGCACGCAGGCGGUCUGUCAAGUCGGAUGUGAAAUCCCCGGGCUCAACCUGGGAACUGCAUUCGAAACUGGCAGGCUAGAGUCUUGUAGAGGGGGGUAGAAUUCCAGGUGUAGCGGUGAAAUGCGUAGAGAUCUGGAGGAAUACCGGUGGCGAAGGCGGCCCCCUGGACAAAGACUGACGCUCAGGUGCGAAAGCGUGGGGAACAAACAGG